UUGAUGAUCGAUGAAUUUAUCGAUGUAAAAAAUAAAGUAUAUUAUUGAUGAUUUCAAGUUACUCAGUAUAUAUAUGUAGAGUAUUAUUUUAAGUUAUACAGUUUAAUUUUAUAGCUUAUCAAAAUAAAUUAUAAGCUAGUAUAAAUAAGUUAUAAGCUGAUGUAGGAAGGCUGGCCGCACGGAAUUGAAGACGAAGUAGCGCGUAAACGGAAAUAAUGUAGAUUUGAUUUUACUAUAUUUUAGCUAGAUUUUUUAUAUUU
rnacentral:lncRNA from 1 species